AGAGUUUGAUCCUGGCUCAGGACGAACGCUGGCGGCGUGCCUAAUACAUGCAAGUCGAGCGGACCGGAUUGGGGCUUGCCUUGAUUCGGUCAGCGGCGGACGGGUGAGUAACACGUGGGCAACCUGCCCGCAAGACCGGGAUAACUCCGGGAAACCGGAGCUAAUACCGGAUAACACCGAAGGCCGCAUGGUCUUCGGUUGAAAGGCGGCCUUUGGGCUGUCACUUGCGGAUGGGCCCGCGGCGCAUUAGCUAGUUGGUGAGGUAACGGCUCACCAAGGCGACGAUGCGUAGCCGGCCUGAGAGGGUGACCGGCCACACUGGGACUGAGACACGGCCCAGACUCCUACGGGAGGCAGCAGUAGGGAAUCUUCCGCAAUGGGCGAAAGCCUGACGGAGCGACGCCGCGUGAGCGAAGAAGGCCUUCGGGUCGUAAAGCUCUGUUGUGAGGGACGAAGGAGCGCCGUUCGAAGAGGGCGGCGCGGUGACGGUACCUCACGAGAAAGCCCCGGCUAACUACGUGCCAGCAGCCGCGGU
rnacentral:rRNA from 1 species